rnacentral:rRNA from 1 species
CAGUAGCCACGGGAACACAGAGGCCUCAAGCGUUGUUCGGAUUCAUUGGGCGUAAAGGGUGCGUAGGCGGUCGGGUAAGUCGGAUGUGAAAUCCUGGGGCUCAACCUCAGAACUGCAUUCGAUACUGCUUGGCUAGAGGACUGGAGAGGAGAUCGGAAUUCACGGUGUAGCAGUGAAAUGCGUAGAUAUCGUGAGGAAGACCAGUGGCGAAGGCGGAUCUCUGGACAGUUCCUGACGCUGAUGCACGAAGGCUAGGGGAGCAAACGGGAUUAGAGACCCCGGUAGUCCCUGUCUCUUAUAC